UCCAGAUUUAAUCCCAUUUUAUUUCCCCCCACUGAAACUCUCCUACCCCCUUCAGCUUUGUUUCGCUUAGGGCCAGGACAUCCAACUUCUUUUCAUUCAUAACAUCAGCAAUCAUCUGUUUCUUGUCAUCCGCACUACAUCCACGCACAUUUAAGCAACCCAGUUUUAUAAAGUUUUUUCUUCUUCUCUUUUUUAGUAAUUGUAUACAGGAGAAGGGGUUACUAGCCCAUUGCUCCCGGCAUUUUAGUCGCCUCAUACGACACGCAUGGCUUACGGAGGAAAGAUUCUUUCCACUUCCCCAUGGACAAUAGAAGAAAUAAAAAAAGAACAAGAGCUAUUUAGAAAAAGGAGAAAAACCUAGAUGUAUGUAUAUAUAUAUAUGCAUGUGCGUGUCUGUGAAGUGUGACCAAAGUGUAAGUAGGAGUAGCAAGAUAUCCCUGUUAUCUUAGCGUGUUUAUGAGACAGAAAAAGAAACCAGCAAUCCUACCAUCAUGCAAAACAGUUACAGGUUUUUGUUUCACAGUCGUCUGGCAGGACGGUAGUACUUCCCUGGGUGGUUGCUGUCUACCAACCUACUACAGUUUAAUUGCUCCCAGCAUUUAGUCGCCUCCUAUGACACGCAUAGCUAAUGGAGGAAGAAUUCUAUUCCACUUCCCCAUGGAGAUAAGCAGAAAUAAACAAGAACAAGAACUAGGAAGAAAAUAGAAUAAAACCCAGAGGGGUUAGUAUAUAUAUACUUAUACAUGCAUGUGUAGUGUGACCUAAGUGUAAGUAGAAGUAGCAAGACAUACCUGCAAUCUUGCAUGUUUGAGACAGAAAGACACCAGCAAUCCUACCAUCAUGCAAAACAUUUACAGGCUUAUGUUUCAUACUCAUUGGUAGGACGGUAGUACCUCCCUGGGUGGUUGCUGUCUACCAACCUACUAAUAUCACCAAAAGUACAGUAUACAAUUUGAUGGGAAGCUUAAGGGCAUAGUUACUUGUCAAGUCUCAUUUUAACCUUUUCAGGGUCCAGACCCCUGAUCUGAAAAUUGCUCUCAGGGUCCAAGACUUUAGAAAAAAAAAUUCUUGUGAAUUGAUUGAGAAUCUUUUUGAAGGUAAUAACACCCAAAGUACAAAAUUUGAUGGAAAUUUCUGGAAUUAGACUCGCAUGGUUGGCUCAGUCUUGGCGAUAUUUACACAAGUGAAUUCUCCCACUCUGAGUCUUAUUUUAAGCCAAUUCCAUUGUUCCAGUCGACUAACCUUGGCUAUUUCGCUUGUAUGCCUUCUGUCGAUUGAGUACAAGAAACUCCCCAUUUAACUAUUUCAGCUACCCAAGAAAGCAACCAGAAAUCACUAAUUUGCCCAAUUUCACAUAAAAAUUUCGUAUUUGAAAAUAGUCCUGAAUAAACAGUGUAGACAUUCCUGGGGCUAAAACAAUUACUCUGUUCAUUAGUCAUGUCCCCCAGGCCUCUCCCAUAUUACGGUUACUUUUCAUUUUAAAUUUUUAUUCACAAAAAAUAAAGAUUUAAUGUUAUGCAGACAACUUCAUUAUUGUAAUUGUAUAAAUGUCAGUGCUCUCCUGAACGUGAAUUAAUUUCGACUAGUUAGACACAUUGUACAAGUGACAUAAACAGACCAUACCACGGGUGGGGAUAGAAGCCGCGAUCAGACUGAUCGCAGGUUUUAUCCCCGCCUGUGGUAUGGUUUGUUUGCAAUUGUGUCAUUACGAUUUCCUGAGUCAAGUGACAUAAUUUGUGUAGUUAUGCUACUUUGAGCUCAAUUUCAAGCUACUUCAUCCUGAAACCAAUCAAAAUAAUCUCUAUGUAAUAUAUCUUCCAUUCUAUCAAAUGAUACCAAGAAUACAACUGUAAAAAAACACCUGAAAAUAGAAGUCACUAUAUUGAACCAAAUAUUCAGUUUUCCCCAUCAUGCAAUGUGUGGGGGCAGGAUUUUUUUUUCUAGUGCAUUUUCCCAUUCUCUCAUAUCUAGGCCCAAAUUUAUCACUGCUUAUCUGAGUGAGCUGAGCUCAUGUAGAACAACAGCGCAGACCUAAGCUCAAAGCCGUGGUUUACUAUGGCAUGGACCUCGAAAGGGUUAAGCCAGUUCCAUUGCUCCAUUUGACCAAGUUCUUAUCUGUUACGCUAGUAUGACUUCUGUUCUAUUGAUUGAGCACAAGAAACUACCCAUUUAACUAUUCAUAUUAAAAUUACCCUACAAAAUCUAAUUUGGCCAGAUUUACACAAUUAAAAAAUACUAAGAGUCCAAAAUAAACUAGAUAUUCCUGGCAUUAAAAGAACAUUUGCCUUAUUCAUUAAUCAUUUUCCCCAUGCCUCUCCUAUAUUACACUUGCUAUCCAUUUUCAGUUUAGUCACAAAAGUAGAAGAUGUGUGCUUUCUCAGGUAAUAAAAUCUAAUUAGGAGUGAUUGGUUAUGGUUUACAGCAUCCCAAUAAUUGGUUCAGACGUACAAAAGUCGGUAAAACAGACCAGGGAGUAUAUGGAGGCCAUACUCCUCAGGAAAAUUGUCAAAAAUUUAAUAUUUUCAUUAAUUUGAGCUGUUUCAAGCUACUUUUAUUCAUGAAGCCAACCAGAAUCUUAUCUAUUUCAGUAGUAUGUCUUCCAUUCUAUCAAACGAUGCCAAAAAUGACGAGUAAAAUCAUAAACAAUCAUCUUAGAAAACACAUGUUAUUUUUAUCAAACAAGGUCAUUUUGUUUUUCCCAUCAUGCACCAUAUAGGGCAUGAUUUUUUUUAUUGUACAUACACCACACAGGCCCAUUCUCUCAUUUCUAGGCCAAAAUUUACCGCUCACAGCUUCACAGAGUGAGCUGAGCUCGUGAUGUGGAACUCCAUGAGGGACCCUUGCCUCAAUGAUGUAGUUCUAUGUGAUGACCAUUGAAAGGGUUAAAUUAUGACAUUUGCUAAAAAUAUAAAAAGAUUAAGUAGGAAAAUAUAGAAAAAAAUUUACUUUCCUAUGCUUGUCACAAGGUAGGGGGAGUGCAGUCUUGUCGCCCAUUAACAUAUAAAGCACUUCAUACUGUACUGCUAUUGCUACAUAUUACACUAGUAAAUGCACUCCAUCCUGCACUGCUAUUAAUAUAUAUAUUCUUUUAACAUGUAGAGCCAAAGUAAGUUUAAUUACUGAUUUGGAUUGGUCUUUGAGAAAAAAGAUGAAUGAUUGAAAUCCUUGCAUAAAAGUUUGAAAAUUGUAAAGCUCUUAUUUUGUUUACAAAAUCAUUGUUGAUUUAUUUCUCCAGAAAGUUUGCCAGGUUAGAGGAAACAUUAAUUGUUUUAACCCAUAAACAUGCAUAACCAGAAAUGAAAUUUCCCAUCUCUUCAGGACAACUUUGGAAAAAGUUCUUUGAUUAAAAGUGCACUUUUGAAAGUUAAAUAAAAAAUAUAACGAAAUUGGAUAGUAACUUCAGAUUUUGUUGAAGUACGUGUAAAAUGAAUACUUACACAACAGCAGUGUAAAUACUUUAGUGGUAUGUACGUUUUACAGCUUGCUGAUGUCAAAUAAUUGUUUUUCAGUUUAUGGGACUUUCCAUAGGCAUUGAAUUUGAAGCAGUCUUUAAUUAUCAUACUCUCAGGUGUUCUGUUGUAUACAGUGAAAGGUUUAACAAAUCUAAAUUUUACCUAAGAAACAUUGACUCUGCAGUUUCAAAUAGUGUCAUCCAUUCUUGCAUCAAAUAUUUUUCGUAACCAACCAAUUGAUCUUGAAACGAUUUUACCUUUUAAGAACACACAGCAUGAAUGGAAUUCCACGCAGAUCUUGGUGGUCGUGUGGCCAAAUUUCAUGCAAUAUAAAGAGAAUUUUCCUCAAGUUUUGUGAACACAUUACAUGAUGGAAGUUUCUUACAUGUUUGUACUUACAAGGUGUAACAAAUUGGAGCCUGAGGCAUUGCAGUGUACUAUGACUGGCUGACUCGAGUGUUACCUAUAUUUGGUACAGAUUGUUGGUAAGUAGUUAUUUAAUGUUGAAAAUGAAACAAGUAUUGUAAUAUAAAAAAAGGCCAUAAUGCUUGUUACUGCUUGGAGAGCUCAUAAGAUUGAGCUUCUGCCUAUCAGUGUUUUACUGCUGAGUGGCUAGUCACUAGUAGAGUAGUUUUAAUAUUAGAAUUCUUCCUGUAAAAUUACCUUAAUACUAUUUUAUUAUCACUGGCCGAUUCCCACCAAGGCAGGGUGGCCCGAAAAAGAAAAACUUUCACCAUCAUUCACUCCAUCACCGUCUUGCCAGAAGGGUGCUUUACACUACAGUUUUUAAACUGCAACAUUAACACCCCUCCUUCAGAGUGCAGGCACUGUACUUCCCAUCUCCAGGACUCAAGUCCGGCCUGCCGGUUUCCCUGAACCCCUUCAUAAAUGUUACUUUGCUCACACUCCAACAGCACGUCAAGUAUUAAAAACCAUUUGUCUCCAUUCACUCCUACCAAACACGCUCACGCAUGCCUGCUGGAAGUCCAAGCCCCUCGCACACAAAACCUCCUUUACCCCCCUCCCUCCAACCUUUCCUAGGCCGACCCCUACCCCGCCUUCCUUCCACUACAGACUGAUACACUCUUGAAGUUAUUCUGUUUCGCUCCAUUCUCUCCACAUGUCCGAACCACCUCAACAACCCUUCCUCAGCCCUCUGGACAACAGUUUUGGUAAUCCCGCACCUCCUCCUAACUUCCAAACUAUGAAUUCUCUGCAUUAUAUUCACACCACACAUUGCUCUCAGACAUGACAUCUCCACUGCCUCCAGCCUUCUCCUCGCUGCAACAUUCAUCACCCAUGCUUCACACCCAUAUAAGAGCGUUGGUAAAACUAUACUCUCAUACAUUCCCCUCUUUGCCUCCAAGGACAAAGUUCUUUGUCUCCACAGACUCCUAAGUGCACCACUCACCCUUUUCCCCUCAUCAAUUCUAUGAUUCACCUCAUCUUUCAUAGACCCAUCCGCUGACACGUCCACUCCCAAAUAUCUGAAUACAUUCACCUCCUCCAUACUCUCUCCCUCCAAUCUGAUAUCCAA